rnacentral:rRNA from 1 species
CCUACGGGGGGCAGCAGUGGGGAAUAUUGGACAAUGGGGGGAACCCUGAUCCAGCCAUGCCGCGUGUGUGAAGAAGGCCCUCGGGUUGUAAAGCACUUUCUGUGAGGAAGAACGCCUGGUGGUUAAUACCCAUCAGGAAAGACAUCACUCACAGAAGAAGCACCGGCUAACUCCGUGCCAGCAGCCGCGGUAAUACGGAGGGUGCGAGCGUUAAUCGGAAUUACUGGGCGUAAAGCGCGCGUAGGUGGCUUGAUAAGCCGGUUGUGAAAGCCCCGGGCUCAACCUGGGAACGGCAUCCGGAACUGUCAAGCUAGAGUGCAGGAGAGGAAGGUAGAAUUCCCGGUGUAGCGGUGAAAUGCGUAGAGAUCGGGAGGAAUACCAGUGGCGAAGGCGGCCUUCUGGACUGACACUGACACUGAGGUGCGAAAGCGUGGGUAGCAAACAGGAUUAGAUACCCUGGUAGUC